CUCCAGUCCAAGGUCGAGGGAGGACUGCACGGGACUGCACGGCGGCGGGGCCAGCCUCCUCUGGGCCUACUGUUAGAGGAGUCACGACUUCGUCUGCAUUUGUAUAGACAGAUAAGGAAACUGAGGCGCACAACGUUUAAAUAAUUUGUCCAAAGUUCCGCAACCAGCAGACCUCAGAUCCUGCAAGAGACUGGGGUGUUUGGCAGAACCUGAAUCCAAGCUACUUGCAAUAUACCAACCGGAGCCUCUCCCUCCCUGGGCCCUAGAAAACGUUUGUGCUACUUGGCUGAGGCCGACGCUGCUUGAGCUGAGAAAGAAAAGAAGGAAAAUGUGGCCAAGAGCUUCCCAGGCUGGGUUAUUCCAAGGUCGCAGAGCAGCCUGUGCCCAUCUCUUCUCGCUUCCUGUGAGAUAACCUGGCUGCACAGGAUCAGCCUGUGGCCUCCUGAACACAGGUUCCCGGGUAAUGGAAAGAAAAAAAAAAUCCACUGAGUGUUUUCUGUGAGCCAGGCACCAUUGAGAACUCUUUUCCUGUGUCAACCCCUUCUGUCCUCACCACAUGCCCCAUGAGGUACGAUUCGGGCACCUUUAGAAACACUGCAAAAACUGGAAACUGGAGGAACAAUGCCGGGUCCUCAAAGUUGAGCUGGAAGGGUUUCACAUGAGAUUGUAUUUUACAACAAUUCUGCUGCUAAAAAGAAUUUGAAAGCCACUUUCCGUGAGACCUCUCUGGAAAAAAUCCCAUUUGACCACAACUGGUGACUUCUGCCUUUAUCUCAUUGCAACAAGUCCUGUGGGCAGUCAUUGUCUGGGAGUUUUGGAACCGCUGACUGACUCUUCAAGCACCAGGCUUUUCCCUUGGUCCUCAGCACUGGGUGGGGAGCCCUACAUCCCAGAAGGCUUGGGAAACAGCAUAGAGCAGAAUCACCUAUCACAGCCAAACAAGACUCUCCAGGAGGAAAUACAGCAGAGAUCUGCUUAGGGCUUAGCAAACAGUGACAAAGGGGUGCCGGUCAUGACCCUUUACAUGGGAAGGAAAGAGAUCACCCCCCUUCUGCCCCUGCAGUUCAGAGAAAGCCCUGGGAGCCCCUGGAGGCACAGCCAGCGACCCUGAGGGAUAAGCUCCAUCUCCAGAAAGAACGAGUGGAUGAGGUCAGAGCCCAGCAGUGACCUGUCUGUGCUGGGGUCCAUCCCCACCAACAAGGCCAGAGCUGCUGCAGCAGGUGGAACGGACAUGCCUCGUGCCAGAUGCGCUGACUGGAUCAGCAACUCUCCAAGGUGGCCUCAUGCUGUGGACAUUACCCCAGGUGCCUCAACUUCGGCUACUUUGUCUCCUUUCCACUCCUCAUCCCCAGAGAAGGUUCUUCUGGCCAGAAGGAUGGCCUCUGAAAAUGUCAGAUCCGGAAGGCAUUCGUGCUAAUGGUGCUCAGCCCUCAGCAAGUCACCUGGCCAGUCAACCCCAUUAAAUGAGGAGCCAAAAGCCCACAGGCCGCAGUUGGGGCUCACAGACAGCCCAGGAGGCAGGAAGUUGGUGUGCUACCACAAG